rnacentral:rRNA from 1 species
CGGCGGACGGGUGAGUAACACGUGGAUAACCUACCUAUAAGACUGGGAUAACUUCGGGAAACCAGAGCUAAUACCGGAUAAUAUUUUGAACCGCAUGGUUCAAAAGUGAAAGACGGUCUUGCUGUCACUUAUAGAUGGAUCCGCGCUGCAUUAGCUAGUUGGUAAGGUAACGGCUUACCAAGGCAACGAUGCAUAGCCGACCUGAGAGGGUGAUCGGCCACACUGGAACUGAGACACGGUCCAG